rnacentral:rRNA from 1 species
GACGAACGCUGGCGGCGUGCCUAACACAUGCAAGUCGAACGAAGUGGCGAACGGGUGUGUAAUACGUGGGUAACCUGCCCUGCGUUUUGGGAUAAGACUUGGAAACGGGGUCUAAUACCGAACAAAGGGGGAUGGGCUCGGGGCCUAUCAGCUUGUUGGUGGGGCAAGGGCCUACCAAGGCGGUGACGGGUAGCCGGCCUGAGCGGGUGACCGGCGACAUUGGGACGGAGAUGCGGCCCAGACUCGUACGGGAGGCGGCAGUGGGGGAUAUUGCACAAUGGGCGAAAGCCUGAUGCAGCGACUCCGCGUGGGGGCGGAAGGCUUUCGAGUUGUAAACCUCUUUCGGUAUCGAACGGGUAGGUAGAGAAGAAGCGCCGGCUAACUACGUGCCAGCAGCCGCGGUAAUAC